rnacentral:rRNA from 1 species
CCUACGGGAGGCUGCAGUGAGGAAUAUUGGUCAAUGGACGAGAGUCUGAACCAGCCAAGUAGCGUGAAGGAUGACUGCCCUAUGGGUUGUAAACUUCUUUUAUAUGGGAAUAAAACGUGCCACGUGUGCCAUUUUGCAUGUACUUUAUGAAUAAGGAUCGGCUAACUCCGUGCCAGCAGCCGCGGUAAUACGGAGGAUCCGAGCGUUAUCCGGAUUUAUUGGGUUUAAAGGGAGCGUAGAUGGGUUGUUAAGUCAGUUGUGAAAGUUUGCGGCUCAACCGUAAAAUUGCAAUUGAAACUGGCAGUCUUGAGUACAGUAGAGGUAGGCGGAAUUCGUGGUGUAGCGGUGAAAUGCUUAGAUAUCACGAAGAACCCCGAUUGCGAAGGCAGCUUACUGGACUGUAACUGACACUGAGGCUCGAAAGUGUGGGUAUCAAACAGGAUUAGAUACCCGAGUAGUC